AUAAUUUACGAUGAACGUAUGAUAAAUUCCGCACCCCCCAAAAAUGGCAGACUUUGGGUGGUCAGUGCAUACCUUUAAUCGAAGGCGGACUAUGUGCGGCACUCUAGACUAUUUGCCACCUGAGAUGGGUAUGCAUGUUAUAUGAUAUGAAUAUUUUAUGCAGAAGGUUUUGAGAUGAUCGAAAUUCAGGCCCUUUCACCGCCCACUUCAAAUCGAGAGCAGUUCAUAAAUGGAGGUUGAAAUUGAAGCAGAGGAAAAAGAAAUGUAGGUACUUGGACAUCAUACCAGCUUCGGCCUCCCAGGUUCUUGAGGAUAUUGAGUUGAUAUGAAGGGUUUCGAAGGCUUCCAAGGAGUGAAUAUUUGUGAGUCCUCAUAGCAUCCGAGGACACCACCACUAUGUUAUCUUUUUUGUUCGUUCUAUGUUUAGACUUUUAUGGGUUGUGAUCCAAGACCUUUGUACUCAUGUUGUCAUAGAUGGUUUUUGAGACAUAUAUUAGAAGUUUUAUGAAAUGAUUCUGCUUUAUGUUUUUGAAUAAAAGUUUUAAUUCCGUGCUA